ACAGGGCUACAUAUUUUGUAUUAAUAUCAAAGAAGUUUAGUCAGAGGGUUUCUUUUUAUAUGUGUGCUUUUCGCUUUUUUUUUUUUUUUUUUUUUAACUGAAGGUACUAAACCCCCCGGGUAAUCAAUUUCCUGAAAUUCUUCGAGACUUCAUAAACCCUAACAAUGAAAAUCAUAAGCAGCAAGCCUUUUAAUUUCCUUAUUGUGUUAUUUAAGCAAUAAGACAUGACAAGGUUUGUGUUAUGCUGGGAUAUCGCCAUGCCUCGGGUGAGUUGUGUUAGGCACGAGGCCGAAAACCAAGAGCUGAAGCCACCUGAAGACUGGAGCUGUCCCAGGACACCAUGCGUUUUUUAGUAUUAUUCUGUGGACCUAGAUAAAAAGAAAAGAAAUAAGGCAGAAACAUAUAAAGACAGAGAAUGGAUGCCAGUUUUUAGGCCCUGUCAGAGUGAUGUGUGACCAGAGCACUGGUGCAGAGAAGACCCCAUGCCACAGAGUUGUAGAAGAGUAUGGUUGGACAAACAAAAGUCACUGUGUAUGCAAACCAGGCAAGUGAAGAGCUGCAAACCAACCCUGAGCAGGAGAGUUAAAGAUUUGCUGCAUUUCCAGUGCUUCAAAAUUAUGCAAGAGAGGACAUUCUUUCUGUUUCUCCAGGAUCCAUACACCAUCUCUCUUUGCUGAGCCUCAAGGGACACUGCUCAUGAGACAACCUGGAAUGAGCACUAAUAGGGUUCAUAUAGGAAAACUACAGUGGCUGUUUUUGUUUUCUGACUCUUAGCUGCUAAUUUCUUUUUCUUGUUAGUAUCAUCUUGACAACAAAUAAAAUUGUACUGUUCUUAUUUUGAAGAAGAUUG
rnacentral:lncRNA from 1 species